rnacentral:rRNA from 1 species
AACGCGAAGAACCUUACCUGCCCUUGACAUCCCGCGAAUCCUGGAGAGAUCCGGGAGUGCCGAAAGGAGCGCGGAGACAGGUGCUGCAUGGCUGUCGUCAGCUCGUGUUGUGAGAUGUUGGGUUAAGUCCCGUAACGAGCGCAACCCUUGUCCCUGGUUGCCAGCAUUAGGUUGGGGACUCCAGGGAGACUGCCGGUGAGGAACCGGAGGAAGGCGGGGACGACGUCAAGUCAUCAUGGCCUUUAUGGGCAGGGCCACACACGUGCUACAAUGGGGCGUACAGAGGGUCGCGAACCCGCGAGGGGGAGCCAAUCCCUGAAAGCGCCUCGUAGUCCGGAUUGGAGUCUGCAACCCGACUCCAUGAAGCUGGAAUCGCUAGUAAUCGCGAAUCAGCACUGUCGCGGUGAAUACGUUCCCGGGCCUUGUACACACCGCGAGC